UGUGUGUGUUUGUGUUGGAACCCACCUCUCACUGAAUGACAUGGAUGGAUGGAUGGAUGGAUGGAUGGAUGGAUGGAUGGAUGGAUGGAUGGAUGGAUGGAUGGAUGGAUGGAUGGUGUCGUAUCCAGCCAAUGUCUUUGUUUUCUGAGUUUGUGUUUUUGUUUAUUUUAACCGGUCUGGUCCUUGUUUCCUUCUGUUUACCACAGCCUAGCACAAACUUGUUUAUUGUUACUCCUAAUUACCUGGUCUUGUUUUUCAUUGGUUCUCCCUGCAUUUCCUGUUUGAAUAUAUAUUCCUUAGUUGCCUCUGGGCCCUGCUGUGUCCUGCGUCGUACUUGUUCCUGGUCGUACCUGGUGGUGCAUCCUAUGUCCUGGCCUGGUUCUGGUUUCCCUGGCUGGUACGUUAGUGAGAACAAUAAAUCUCGGACUUACCAUUUUUCAUCUGACUCCUGGUGUCUCCUUCUCUGCACUUUGGUCCCACCCACAAACUGCACAUCUGACAUUAAGACACAGCCAACAGGACCAAGCAGAAGGUGGGGAGAUAAUCUGUGGGAGUGUCUCCAGCGUGCUUGGAGAGCUGCGCAUGCCAGGCUGAAGUGGCGGAGGAGCAGCGAGUGACGAGGGACGAGCAGCGAUCGCCAGUCUGGGGUUCAAGGCUGGCGAUUACCCUUCCAGGAGCCAGUCCACUGCGCUACGUCUCUCCCCUAGCCUCUUCUCAGCACCGCAGAGAGCGUUGCAGGCACGAAGCUUCAGCUCUUGGCUCCGUGGAGGGUCGGCGGAGGGUCUGCUCCUGGUUACAUCCCUGAUCGGCCAUCUUCUUCAUCUUCAAGUGGAAAAAAUUUUUAAAAAGCAGCUGUGCAGUAUGUUUACAAUGGACAUCCAGGCAGGUAAAAACAGACAUAAACAGCAGUACCUUCAUAACAGCUCAAAAGUCCAUCACCUCCAGUGCGACCUGUAACGACUAUUUACUCAAAUUGACUCCCUGUGGAGCAGAGCCCUCUUUUAUAGCCAUAGGCUCUGCCCACAAGAAGACAACAACAAAGAAAACCCCUAAACAAAUACUUAUAACUCAGAACGUACAAAAUUAAUACAGCGACCUGAUGACAUCACCGUUACAUCAUCAUGUGACUCCCAUCCGGUGGCUUUCACCCAGAAAUACCUUAACUUGAAUAACUGAGGGAAAUCUUUGACACUGUAAAUUACAAACUAUAUUGGGUAUGACAACUGAGGCAGGAACACCGUGUGUGCACCCAUGACGCACCGCGCCAGUUUUGCUGAAACCAAAAGGUAAGUUCUGUCAGGUGCGCAUUUGCAUGUGUGCUUGCAUGUCAGCCCGGACUUCACUGUAGCACUACGUCCAAGCUUGGGACGGCUCCUCCAGAGGGGUUCAAGGACAAGGAUGGAUGGAUGGACACAGUCACAAAAAUUAUCUGCCAAAAUAGUUGCUAUGUCAUAAAAAUCAAUACAUGGAUGGAAAACUGCUACAUUUCUUUUUUUAAAAAAAAAGGAAACUGAGGAAUGCUGGACUUGGGAGCUCAGUCCUGAGGAGCUUCUACCACUGUGCGGUGGAGAGCGUCCUCUACACCUGCAUCAACUUAUGGCACGGCAGUUGCACUGCUGCCGAGAGGAAGGCUCUGCAGAGGGUGAUAAAGCUGGAAAGAGGACUGUGGGGAACUGUCCUCCCCUCAGACAGGUGGCUGAGGAGCAUUCAGAGCAAGAUCACCAGGCUCAGAAACAGCUUCUUCCCUGAAGCUGUCUGACUGCAUAACUCAAGCCACUCUCUGUAGACUCUCUCACUACUCACUGAACUGCACUAAACACUUCACCCAGCAAAGGUGCAAUAUUUCACUCACUUAUAGGUGCAAUAUUAAGGACUACCUCUUGCUUUACAUGUGUAGUUAGUACUUUGAAAAGUUAAUUUUAGCUUCACAAUUUACCUGUUUAUAUUUUUUUUAUUGUUUUGCUCUUUGCUGCACAAAUUUUUACUGAUUGACAUUUAUUGUUAGAUUUAGCUUUGAAUGUUAUACUUAGUUUUCUUUUUACUUAAGUAUUAGGCUUCUUAACCAGGACCUGAGUCCGAAUUUCAUACCAUAACAUGUAACUGUGAGCUGGUAUGACAAUAAAAAUCCUUGAAUCCAUAAAAGUAUACAAUAAAAUAUAAAUUAAAUUAAAACAAUAUGAAAGUUAAAUCAGAGAGUUUGCAUACAAACCAAACACGGUCUACUUCUAUAAAGGAAUUACAACAAUCUAGGUUAAUUCACAUUAACAAGAAUCAAUCGUUGGAUGUACUCAACAAAGGAGGUACAAAUUCAAAUAUCCGAUACAAACACCAAAGAGCCAGUCAGCUAAACGAGGUACUUUGGGAGCGCGCAUUGCUUUUACAAGGUCAAGAAAUGGCUGCAAUAUAAAGAAAACAUUUCUAACUUCAUGUAAAGCCUAGCUGUGCUACAGUGCAGAUACUAGCUUGUACAUUGAACAGGAACAACAAAUCAAGAAUUUUGUCAGUAUGUAAAACAGGAUUUCCUCUGCAGCAAAGUUCUUGCUAAAUUCUCACAUGGUUAAGCCACCACAAGACACAAGACAUCAGAAUGAUGGCAGUUUGGUGAACCAGAAAAACGUUGUUGGAGAAAUGCCUCUAACACUAGCACAAUUUAUAUGUUGUGCAGGGUAGGAGCAAGUUAAAUGAUAAGCAGCUGAACACAGUUAUUAAACAUUAAUAAAACUAAUAAAGAGUGCGAUAUUUGAAUUUCUCUUUGAAUCUAAUCCUGGUUCAUUGUAAAGAAAUGUAGAUUUGUGUGGCUGAUGUGCCAGGGUAAACCAAGAAGGAUUAGAUGGCAUACUUUUCUUGAGCACAACAAAUGCAAUUAAUAAAUUAACCCUAAAGAUACAUCUCAAACCAAUGAAGAUUUGAUUUAAAGCAAAAUCUGCUGACCUUGAAUUCAGAAGAUUAUGCAACUAUGCUCAGUUCGUUUGUUACCAGAGUCUAGAAGAUGGACUUCUAGUGCAGUCUUGCUUUGCCCAUAUAGGGAAAUGCUGGCAACUUCUCUCGGUGUGGUCACUCUUUGUUUUCCAAGUCGUCUUCUAUUGAGGGAAUGUUCUAAAAGGAUUGUGCUGAAACUGAAACAAAGAGAGGGCUGCUUUGCCAUGAAGGAAAGUGAUGCAAGGCAGCAGGAAAUGGCUGGGGCUAUAUCCUCAGGAAGUGUUGCAACAUUGUGAAUAAAAGUUUUGUUUACCUGGAACAACUAAUUUUCAAUGUGUAAAUGGAAUCAAGAAUAUGGUGACAGCUAAGAACAAUUUAGUAAGGAUCUCCAUUUAUCAUUGAUAUAAUGCUACAGCAGCUUGUGUAAUGGUUUUGUUAAAUUGCACAAUUAAUGACACUAAUGGAAGUGAGAGGGAGGCAGUUUGGCAUCAGUAUCAGAUGGAGGUUCUAACUAGUCAGCAUGUGGCUUCGCUCUCAUUAUUUUCUAGGAAACAACGCAAAACAGCAGCGUUUGGUCAGGGGAAAAUACUCCGAGGCGUGGUGACCAGUGACCCUUUUCAAGCCUUCUUCCAUGUUUGUAUUAAGGGCUAAAAUCCACUGAAAUAUAUAUCUGUUCUGUUUCGGCACACUUCAGCACGAUGCGUUCAAUGUGUGUUAAAAGUGUCAUUAAAAGUGUGUCAAAAGUA